rnacentral:rRNA from 1 species
AGUGAACGCUGGCGGUAGGCCUAACACAUGCAAGUCGAACGGCAGCACAGUAAGAGCUUGCUCUUACGGGUGGCGAGUGGCGGACGGGUGAGGAAUACAUCGGAAUCUACUUUUUCGUGGGGGAUAACGUAGGGAAACUUACGCUAAUACCGCAUACGACCUACGGGUGAAAGCAGGGGAUCUUCGGACCUUGCGCGACUGAAUGAGCCGAUGUCGGAUUAGCUAGUUGGCGGGGUAAAGGCCCACCAAGGCGACGAUCCGUAGCUGGUCUGAGAGGAUGAUCAGCCACACUGGAACUGAGACACGGUCCAGACUCCUACGGGAGGCAGCAGUGGGGAAUAUUGGACAAUGGGCGCAAGCCUGAUCCAGCCAUACCGCGUGGGUGAAGAAGGCCUUCGGUUUGUAAAGCCCUUUUGUUGGGAAAGAAAAGCAGCAGGUUAAUACCACGCUGUUCUGACGGUACCCAAAGAAUAAGCACCGGCUAACUUCGUG